GAUGAACGCUGGCGGCGUGCCUAAUACAUGCAAGUCGAGCGAACAGACGAGGAGCUUGCUCCUUUGACGUUAGCGGCGGACGGGUGAGUAACACGUGGGUAACCUACCUAUAAGACUGGGAUAACUUCGGGAAACCGGAGCUAAUACCGGAUAAUAUUUCGAACCGCAUGGUUCGAUAGUGAAAGAUGGCUUUGCUAUCACUUAUAGAUGGACCUGCGCCGUAUUAGCUGGUUGGUAAGGUAACGGCUUACCAAGGCAACGAUACGUAGCCGACCUGAGAGGGUGAUCGGCCACACUGGAAUUGGGCCACGGUCCAGACUCCUACGGAAGGCAGCGGGAGGGAAUCUUCCGCAAGGGGCGAAAGCCUGACGGAGCAACGCCGCGUGGGUGAUGAAGGUCUUCGGUUCGUAAAACUCUGUUAUUAGGGAAGAACAAACGUGUAAGUAACCGUGCACGUCUGGACGGUACCUAAGCAGAAGGCCACGGCAAACUACGG
rnacentral:rRNA from 1 species